GGUCCCUCCCACCUCCUUUUUUUAAAUUCCCUCUACCAAGGAAGUGGAAUAGGAUUUUGUAACAAAAGGAUCAUCUUGGCCAUGUCUGACGCUCAAAUUCAAAAACCAUGUUGAAACAAUUAAGUUGUAAUUCUUCUGCUUUCACCAGAACCCCUCACUGCAAGUCACCUAUAUCCCCAUUGACUGAGAACUUUCAAAAGAUUAAGUAAUCCCUGCUCAGUUUUGCUACCUUUGAAUGAUGUUGGUACAAAAGCACACUACUGUGAGUUGUAUAGGAAUCUGGACCUAAAGCAUGAGCUUUGAUAAGUAUUAAUUUUAUUAGUGUCAGACUUGUAUAGCAGUGCAAAGUUGUGUGCAGUUCUUUGUUGUAAAUUUUCAGCUACAGGUAGUGAUAGAACCACUUUUGUAGGUAGUGAAGUGUGUAAGAGAGUUACAGUUUCUUUAACUUUAGUAGUUACAUUGAAAAUUCUUGCUUAUACCUCACCUGAAGUUCUUACAGGUCCCCAGAGAUAAGGGGAAUAUUCCUCUCUUUGUACACUGAGCUCUCUAGUUUUGAGAAACAAUCUGUGCUGAAGUGAUUGUAGGGUAUUCUUUCUUGGAAAUAAAGCCUGGUUUAAGUUCUUGAGGUUGAGGAUGGCAUGUGGAUCUGUCCAGAUGCAAAUACAAAUUUAUAUCUCUCUCACUUUGUUAUGCUUUCUUUGAGGAAAUGCUGCACUUUUAAGUACCAUAACUUUUGUAGCAAUGUUGCUGUGCAGUUUUGUCAGAUGUAAUCACUUUGAAAAUGCUUUCAAAAGUAAUACACAAUGCCAUGGAGAAAUUUCAUAUGCUUUUAGAAAUAACGCUGGAACUGGACUGCAAGGAAAAGUAAUUUUGUUUAAGUGUUUGUGAUUGACACUCAGAUAAUAUUCAAAGAGGAGCUGUAACAUAUGUAACACAUGCUUUGAUGUUUGAAGUGUCCUCUCUCAAAGCAGCAGCAUAACUGGUGGUUAUUAGUGAUUAUUAAAGACAUGGGUAUGUUACUAAUCAGGCAACUAAGUUACCAAGCCAAAUUCUAAAUCUGUAAUUAUAUUUGGCCUCCUUAAAACGAGGAGACAUGUUUGUACUAUUUCUGUCGAAAACCACUGUAUCUGAUAAAACCAAUUAAUAUGGUUGGUUUUUUCUUUUUCUGUGGCCCAUGACAGAAAAAAUAGCUGAAUGCUUAGUUUCUGACACUUUGUAAUGGAAAUGAAACAAUUCUUCCUCUUCCUUUUGAAAAUUUGACCUUCUAAGUUUUCAGGACAGUUUAGAUUUGAAGUUUCUUUAUUUUGUCACUUCAAAUCAUGUCAUGUUGCCAGUUAAAAUUGGCUUUGUGUGCAUCUCUGCUGUGUUCGUUUGCUUACAGCUCAAGUAUAUCUGUGGUUUUGCUGCAGCCAGUAAUGGAUUACUACUGACAAAAGUUGUUUGUUUAUUUGAGUGACAAGCAUGUGUUCUUUUGUCUCUGGUUUUAAGUGAGUAGAUUUCUCUCACACUGAAGAUAACAGGCAGAUAUCCAUAGUAAAGUUUCUUCAGCAAACAGUGAAAGCCAGUGGUGUUUGUCCGUGCCUGUUACUGUUCUGGAGUUUUUGAAGCCUGAUUUUGAUAGAUCACAAACAUUGUGGAGCUGAUAAAAUACUUGUUUAGCUCUUGAGGCCCAAAAAAGCCUCUGUCAUUUUUAAUUUGUGAAAGCAAGGACAACCACAUUCAAGAAAGAUGUACAGUGGUAUCUGCUCCUUGCUACCAUCAUGAACCAAAUUCAGCUGAUCCUCUGGAGCAUUAUUUGACUCAGUGACCAACAUGUAAUUUUCUGCACCAGAAGACAAGAAGGAAACAGCAGUUGUUAAGAAAUAAGCCAUGCCUGCUGCAGCUGAUGUAACUGUGGGGGACCUGCCUGUGAGACAUACAGGUCUAACUCCAGCUGGAACUGAAGGAUUACAAGAAUCAGGAACUGCACAGAAUAUGAAAGCUCAAUGAGCCAGGUAACAAACCAGCCAAGAAGAACUGGAGGACAGGUUUCCUCAUGUACAUGAUGAUCACAUCUUACUCCAGCAGCAUAAAAAUGAGCAAGAGGAAAAAACUAAAAGCAUUCCUUGCCAAAACCCUUUUAACUAGAAGUUUGGAAUGAAUUUGCAGUAGAAGAACAUUGAAAAAACUCCAUGUAAACAAAAAACCUGCUUACAGGCAAGUAACAUUCUGUGACAUCCUGAAGUUAUUAGGGAUUUUUUUUUGUUUCACUUUUGUUCUUUUAAGUAGAAGCUUCUGUCCACAAGUAUACAAAAAAUAAAACAAGUCCCUUUAAACAAAUGAAGUGUGUCCUUAUUUUCAGUUUUUUUUCUAGGCCUUCAAAAAUAUAUUUCCUGUAAACUAGAUACAGGUCUCAAAGAUGUGCAACUGACUUUAUAAAGUCUUGAACUUGUCUCUCUCAUCAAAGCCACCUUUUCUUUCUUUAUAUGCCAAGUUUUUUGCAUUCACUUCUGGGUAUGUUUUCUGUUCAUGCAUGUUACAUCACCCCCACGUGCCCUCACUGCCUUUUGUUCUAGCUUACCAAUGUUUAUCAGAACCAAGGGAAAUCAAAGGUACAACCUUUCAGAUACCAAAAGCAAAAUUUGUAUCCUUCUAAAGACAGAUGACAGCCAUAACCUCUGUAUCUAAUUAUAUUCUGCAGCUAACUGUUCCUUCUCCAAAGCACACUGGAAAUAUUUGCCAUGUAUAAAAUUGAGUAUGGUAAUGAGAACUAUUAAGUUUUUUUUUUUGCCAGAGUGCCUUCUUAAAUAUCUCCACCUAUAUAUUUCAGCCACUUUAGACAUGGAAUAUAUAUUUAAAUCCCAAAAUACUAGAAAUUGUAUAUAAUUGGCAUGUUGCAUAUUAUUAGCAUUCUUUCAAUAGCUGAAUGUUCUGUGGAAUUGGAGCUUUUAUAGUUUGCCCCACCACAUCUCAAAUCUGUAACUUUACUUAACAGCAUGCAGAGGUUCCUAUAUAAGGUCAUGCGUUAAAAAUUACAUUUAAGCACCAUAUGGAGUAAAUAUGUGUCCUCCCUUUGCUAACCUUAAAUGAUAAGCCUUAGGAAACUGUUAUUUGUCAGUGCUAUAAAGCAGAUUGCUGCACAGUGGUUUCAAUUAUCUUCAAAGAGUUCUUCACAGGCAGUAAUAGUUAUAUCAAAACCUGAAAUUUAUUAUUCAGGUUCUAUGCUGAAGUCUUCACAGUGAUUAUGUUCCUUUCAACAGAAUGCUUUUUAUGCUGACUUUUCACAUUCUUUUUCAUCUUUUUUAUUAUUUUCCCCAGAAUGACCACCAAGUUAAUACAGCUUGUUAAUGAUAGAAAAAGUCUGAGCAGGUUGGUGGCGGCCCCAAGUGGCUGGGUCAGGCCUGGAGCUGGAAGGGAGGAUUGUGCAUUGACAAGAAGAAGUUCAUGAGCCUGAGAAACAAAGUGAGAGCCUCCCCUUUCAGCUGACCAGCAGCUCCAGAUUCCAGGCCACAGACCUUGUCCAUCCAGCUGGGUUCAAUCUUUUAUUAGCAGUGGGCUCAGAAAAGUGAGCAAGGCUGCUGAUAUGCCAGAGCACACAAGGAAAGGUGUCAUUCACAUUUAUUAAAAACAAUGGUUUAUAUCCCUAACAAUUGCUUCACUGUAGCAAGUCCAUACUCUUUUUUGUUCAUCAGUGGGCAAUAAUAGUACCUGUAGGCAGAAAGGUUGUUCUUUCCCCUUGUUCUUAUAUUUAUUUAUAGCAGCCAUGAUAACUUGCUUGCCUUUGAAGUCCUUAUUAUGAGAAUCCACAGUAGUUUGGGUUAAACAAAAGUACAGAUUUGAGAAGACAGUAGCUAUCAGGCAAGUUUUCUAAUAGUUAAAAUCAUUGGACUUCCUUAGUAAAACUUCUCUACAUGUUAAAGGGUUAUAAAAGUAGUAUAUGAAAAAGUUUAGUGUUUUUAUGUUAUAACAAAGUUUCACAUCUGUAUUUUGUUUGCACAUGUUUUUCCUUUUUUAAUUUCAAGGUUUGUUCUAGUCUCUUGAUACAUGUGUGCACAGCACUGCAGGCUUGAAAAAUCUCUCACACGUGUGGGCUUUGAAAAGCAGAUACUGCAAUGCAGCCAUCUAUAAUGGUGCUUUUUACUGCUGAGACUUUCUGCUUAAGGCAGGCUCCCUUUCAGGCCUUUACUCACUGUAGUUACAUUUAGGAAUCGCACUUUAAAACUUUCAUAUUUUCAUAGGAACAUUAUCAGUUAACCUAUACACUGAACUGCUAAUGUAUUUUAAAAAAACCCAACAGCUACAGCAGUGAUUCAAACCUGAGUCAGCAGAAAUGUCUCCUUAACUUCCAGAGAUCAUGGAUCAAGCUGGUGGCCAGUUACACCCUCACACCAGUCUUCAUUUUUAUUACAUUGAUUCAGGAAAGAAUAAACAAUCCAGAAAAGAGAAUGAACUCUUGAACAAAAACUAUGAUAAGCUGCAUAAGUGUCUUCUGUAUGACCCAUGAACAGCAAUGGAAAUCAAAGGAACAGCAAAUGAAACUGCAAAUUGCUAAACUAGAGAUGGCUAUCAAAUCUGAUUUAGCAGACAAAAAUGCAAUCCUUGACAAGAUCAAAGUAGAAAGAGCAUAUGGGACAGGAGGUUAAACAAGAAAGGCUAGAAGAUGAUAAGGUGGAGAUGGCUGAAGAAAUUUAACAGGAGACAGAAAAGCUCUCACAUCUGUCAGAGGAGCAGUUAGCUGACCAAACAUCAAUUACUUCUGGAAAUGAGAGAGAAAUAACUGAAGGAUUGGAACCAGAAGGUAGAAUUCAUCUUUAUGAAUAAGUAACUGUAUUUUGUUAAUAAAUCUAUGUCUCUUUCCAUUUUCUUAAGCAUUUCUUACUAGCAGUGGGAGCUGCCUUGUUAUGAGAAGCUCCAUGACAGAAAUUAUAAUCUGGUGUACUUUAUAGCUGAAGCUGGGUAGUGGAUAUGGUGGUGUUAUUUUCUUCCCAAAUGGAAACUGUAUCAUAAUUGAAUGCAAAAAUCUGGUAUCUGACCUAGAUUCAUAAAAUAUUAAGGGAAACCUGGCUUCUAUUUUAAAUGUCUUUAUAUUUUCCCUUAGAACUAUGCUGUUCUAAAGACCAUUUUAAUGAAUAUGCUCCUUUUGUCUGCAGAUAACAGCCAAUGCUGCUAUUGGAAAUCCUUUCAGACAGAGAGAGGGGUAGUAUGUCUUAUCAUAUUCGUGACUUAAGUUGUUAGAGGCAGAUUUAUUUAAAGAUUAUAAAAGGCAGGUCAUCCUGUUCCACCUCUGAGCUUAAACUGUUUAUCAUUGAAAUAGACCAAGUCCACAAUACCAAGUUUACAGUAAAAGCAUAAGCAGAAUGCUAAAAUUUAAUGUUCAUUUGUUUGCAGCUUCUGUGUAAGACUACAUUAGAAAAAUUGGAAAAAAUAUGAUGUUGAAUCCCUGUUGUGUUUAUAAGUAAUUUGCUUCAGAGGAGAAAAACCCAAAAUGCUCUGAAAUAAUCCACCUGCAUACAGAGUUUUUUUUUUUUUCUUUUAAAAAAAGGAUAAAUAAAUCUUUAUGUGUGCAUGGUGUUAAACACAGUCAGAGGAAAUCCACAAAUUCAGGCCAUAGUCGUGUAUAAAGCUAACAGUUGUUCAUACCUCAAUUCAUCACAGGACUUCUAUCAUCCCAGUCCUCAACUUUCAUCGGGGAAGCACUGCUUUUUUAUUUUGAGAAACCAGAAAAAAAUACAUCUAAAUACAUUUAGAUGACUAUAAAGGUCAUUGAUUUGCAGGGUUAAUCUUCUGCAAGGAAGAGAAGAUUUGCCUGGCAGUUAUUCUUCAUUUGUUAGUAAAGCACCUAUAUUGCUAUCAGGCUCCUCAGCAAAACUCAGAUGGACGGCAGUAAAGGGGUUUCACCACAUUGAUUCUUCCAAUGUUUUUCACAUCAAGGUGAUAGUCCUCUUGAAGCAAUAAAAUCUGACAGAAAUGACUGUAUUAUUUCAAAUCCAUUAUCCAGUAAUAUUAAACAGCUGAGUCAGAAUGUACAUGGCAAUUAUUUGGCCCGACUAAAAAAUAUUUUAAACCUAAUGAAGUCUAAGAGUAGCUUUGCUGUAUCUAACAUCAGUUUCCUGUAAAGUUAUAUAUGUACAGUAGCAAAUCACUUCAGUGUACUUCUUUUUCUAUUAUUAUUUGGGGGCAAGUGCACUAAUCAUGUUCGCUUGAUUUAUGCUUAAAACCAGCAAUUAAUUACCACAAAGACAUAUAUAAAAAAUAAAACCACAUUAAUACAAAUUUGGAACAUUUUCUUGGAACAGUAUUUCAGUAGAAUAGUUCUGAAAAAAAAAAUCAUAUUUUCUAAUCUAAAUUUGACUGAACAAUGUUAAAAAAUAUAAAACUAGUAAGUAAAAUUGAUGACAGUGCUUCUAACAGUUAAUACUUCUCUGAUCUGUCUCAGCCUUCUUUUAAACAACCAGGGCUAUACUGUUAGAUCCUAUCAGACUUCAUGGUUUAUGUUCUGCAGUGUGAUAUCCUAGAGGUAGCUUGAUUUUUUUUAAAUGCUCUUUUCAAGGCUGUGAAACAUCCUACAAAGCAACAAGAAGCAAUUCUUUGUAUGAGAAAUGUAGCUGUUCUUUGUUAAAGCUGUAGAAGAGGUUUUGAAAUGCUAUCACUCAUGUAUUCUUCAGAAAAAUGCAGAGAGUACUUUUGAAGAUGGAAUUGCAUUGUUUAUUUGUAUAAUUUUAGAAACAAUUGACACCUGUAAUUUUGAGAACUAAAAUUAGUGCUACUCAUGUCUAUUAAAUCCAAAUAUAAUGCACUUGUUCUAUAAUUUUCUGGUCAUGUAUUUUAUCACAGUCAUUUAAGAGCUCUUCUGUGAGAACUUUGUGUAGAUUUAUUUCAGGUUCAUCAAUUCCUACCUUUCCCCAUUGAUCUGUUCUUGUGGUAACAAAAAUUCCUGUUCAUGAAGGGUAGAUGAAACAAUAAAACCUCUGAACUAUUAAGACAACAAGUAUAUUUGAUAGAGAUUGGAUUUUUAAAAUAUGCAUUGGUUUAUAUGAAUUCUUGGGUUAAUUUGGAAUACAGCAUGUCAAAAUUGGUACUGAAUUUGUAUUUUUUUAAGAUUAAGAAUCACUGCCUUUUAUCUUUUGAGAUAAAUAUCCUGCUGGUAAUCAAACAGUGUAAAUAAAACUUGUGAUUUUCUGAGAUCGUUAUGCUAAUUAUCCCCUAGAUCUGAGUUGUAUGCCAAACUGUUUAAGCCAUUUAAGAUCACACUGAGGUUUUUUUGCAUGUUGCAAAUUAGACAGUUCAUGGUUAUUUCUUAGAUAUGUUGAUCACAAAGGGUAUCUAACAGAUUUUCCACUACUUAACUGUACCACUUGCUUCUUUCUCUUUUCUUCUUGUCUAUGAUGUAUGAUUAAUCAUAGAUUACUUCAUUUUGUUUCAUUUCAUUUACAACAUUUAUGAGCUUCACUUUGUCGGUAUGAAAUGCUUGUCCCCUUCUUUCCUUUCCAAAGUGGCAUAAUUAGUGUUAGCAUCUUUUUUAACAGGCUACAUAAAGUUUAGUGGCUGGAUUAAAUCAAGUCAUUAACAUAAUGUGCUAUACAAUUUGCCCCUAUCUCUUUUCGUUUCCAGUACAUCAAAGUGCCACAGAGUGCCAGUGUAAUUGGGCCUUGCUAGCUUGUCAGGUUCAGUCAGGCUGAUGGCUGCUGCUUUUACUAAAAAGCUUCCAGGCAUGAUAAUUAAUAGAGAAAAGAAGUCUGAGAAAUGUAAAAGUUUGGACAGUUCUCUAUGAAUAUUUCAUACAUUUGAAUAAUCAGAAGUUAACAUUAUCAAUUUGAUGUAUAAUACAUUGAUUAAAAGCCUUGUUUCAGAUCCUCAAAAUAGACAUCAAAACUGGGAAUUUGCAUUUUCUUUGGCAUGGUCUUUAUAUUAAAAAAAAAAAAUUAAAAAAUCUUUUCUCUUCCAUCCCCUCCUCCUUUACACUCCCAUAUCUACAACAAAUCCAUACAGGAAAUUAUAUAGCAUUCAGUUUUCACAAUAAAAUUUACUGCUGUCAACUUCCAAGUUGUCUUAAAAUGUGCCAUGAGGCAAUCACUGGCAAACCCAGUUUGUUUGGUAGUGGUUCUGGUUUUUGCUCUCUUUUUUUCUUGCAGAUGCCACAAGUGCACAUUCUCUUGCUCUAACAGCAGUUUACUGAUAGCAGCCAUUAUCUGUACCUGUAAAUUAAGAUAUCAAGUUGUAACCAAUUUUGACAUGGAAAUCUUUUUUAAACAGCAAAAAAGCCAUACCAAGUGUUCACGGUUCUCCUGGUGAAGGGCACAAGCUUGUGCUAAGGCGAGAAGUUGUAAAGCUUCAAGGUUAUGUAUAGCAAAUCAAUAAAAACUAUUCCUUUUACUAUGGAUUUUUUUGGGUACAAUUACUUGAAUAUUGAAUUACUUGUAUUUCCACCUAUGUGCUAGCUGUAUUCAUUUAAAAAAGGAAAUUAUUUGGAUAUUGUAUUGCAGUUUUAAAUUUUGGCUGAUAUGAUUCCUCUUUACACUUAUUUUCUGCAGGACAUGAAUGUCUUUAGUGUACUUCAGGGAGAUUUUUGAGUGUUCAAUUUUUUAUUUCUCAACUUGGCUUGUGUUGUGGAUUUAAUCUGAAUUUAGUGAAUUUAGAGAAUUAAAUUUCAGGGUUUUAGUACUACUCUGUGUUACUCACCUGGCUCAAUUCUACCAUGCCAGAAAUACUAAUCCUUUGUGUUCUCCUACUCCUGUAUAGAAGUAACCUCUGUUUCUUUGUGUUUUUCUUCUGUAAAAAAUUGGGGAAUUAAAAGUGCUGCACCAGCAUAUUUAAUAAAACAAGAAGUAAAAUCUAUGAAACAGAACCAUCUUAUCAGAGUAUGAUAGCAGCAACUUGUUAAACUUUGUAGUCUGUGCUUUCAAAGACAACUGAUUGGUCUAAGAUUAAAAAGAACCAUUUGCCAUUCUCCACCUUUGAGGUGGUUGUUUGCUGGGGGUCACUAUGAUCCAGAAACUAAAGUAAAAGUGAAUUUAAAGUAUCCAGGAAAUACCUAAGCUGUGUUUUGCAACUGAUAAAGUGGGAGAUGACAGAAGUUUGAGUAGACCCUGUGCUGAAAUGAUGGACUUACAACUUCUAUCUACCACUUGUCAAAUACACUUUGAAGUUGUAAUUGAAAGCAUUUACUGCAAGUCAUUCUUUGAGAUAGAAGAAAUAAAAGAAGAUGGAGAAAUAAUACCAAACACCACACAGCAGCUUUUAAAAUGAUUGAAAACUACAUAAUCUUAAGUAACUGCCCGUUAUUUUUUUAGGUAACAUAAAACAAAUUAGUCAGAAUAUGAAAUUAAGUAGAAGGCCAGAUUUAAGGCUGAAUAUCUUUUUUUCCUCAAGGAAUUUUCUGCCUUUCAUGCCUUUUUAACUUAAGAAUUAUGCUUCCCUUUGAAAUGAAAAGUAAGUUUACACAACAUUUUAAUUUCUUAAUUAUGUGACUGGUUGGUACCUGUGUACCUCACUGGCUUUGAGAUUUGAACAAGUUGAUGUUUGGUUUUUAUUUUUUCUGAUGGAUCAAUUGAAGAUGAGUGAUGAAACAUUAAAAAAAGUGAAGUUUUCUCUUGGAAACAGUCUGCAGGAGUAGGUGUGCCUUCAUUCAGGACAGUAACAAUAUAGCUUAUUAAGUUUUCCCAGCUUCUUGGGGAGAAAAUAAAAUUCAGAAUUAUGCAAAUUUAUAUCUCACCAAUGAAACAGGUUCAGAUAUAUUUAUAUUUUUGUAUUAUCCAUCCCUAGAAACAGUUUAUCUUUAAAAUCUGUUAGUUGUGGCUGUGCCACGGGCAAGGUGCAAAACUGAAUCUUUAAAACCAAUUCCACUUCAGGAGAAAUAUUGAACAAUUUUAUGUUUUUUCUUCAUAAAGGGUGUGAGGUGAGCUGAAGAGAAAGCAAGGACUAUGCAAGUGAUCAAAACUUCUGUUAUGAGCAAAGUGCAACUGUGACUUCAUGAUCAGAUGUAAAGUUUUCAUGGUGAUGGUGGGAAAGCACACUUCCCACUAGAACCUUCUAUUUUCUAAAAUAUUUGGUGCUCUAUACCUAAUUAGCAAUUGUCAUUUUGGAAAGAAAAAGAGUUCAUGGCUGGUACAUUACAGAUUUCAUAGAGAGUCAGUACCUAAUCACUGAAUUGGCUCAAGCUGUAGCAAGUAAUUAAUGCCUUUGAAAAUAUAAAGGAUUAAUUUAUGGUGGUCUGAAAAAUGACGAAUUUGGACUCUCCACCAGGUAAAAAGGCAGCAACCAGAGUUCCCUUCAUUGACACAGGUAGAUCUUUACAUUCAGUGUGUGCUUGGUUCUAGCAAGAGAUGAAGGGGUUGCAUGGAGCCUUGUCUGGCGCUGAGCUCUGUCAUUGCAUUCUUCUCCUGGCACAUCCAGGGCAGUGAUGCUGCGAGAAGAUUUUCUGUGCCUUUCCCCCUUCAGCAGGGACCACAAGAGUUAUUCAACAAGGAGAGAGAGAUCUCUGCCCCAGCUCUUAGGGAGAGUCUGAGGUGUAUGUGCUUUAUUAAAAAAAGUCCCAUCCGUGUGGAGAAGGAGCAGGGAACAUUUCUGUAUCCCUCUUCCUGUUCUCACAUCUACACCAGUGUGGGGGAAAGGUAAAAAUAAUUUCUCACAUGAAAAGUCACUGCAUACAGGACUAGAGUAAUUUUUUUGCAAUAUGUAUUUUUAUGUGGAUAUGAUUCUGUGUUGCCCUGUUAAUCAUAAUUACUUAAUGAGUAAUGUUUGUGUCUCUGUACACUUGAAUUACAUUGAUGUUCCUGUAAUAGCAUUUUUUGUGGCUCUGUUCUGACAUUGUUAAUAAGAUGAUCACAGGAAUUCAGCACUUCAUAGACCAAGAGGAUUAUUUCUCAUUCAGUAAUAUAUUUGUUAAUCAAUAUUCAUAGUGAUUGAAAUACUGAUAGCAAAUGGAUGAUUACUUGUGAUUAUUGGAGAAUAGCUUAUAGUUUAUCUUAUAUGCUCUUUGCUUGAAAUAGAAGUGAAUAAGUGGACUCUGGAAAUAAAUAUAUAAAAUGCUAAGGAGUAAAGCAUGCAAUUUUUUGAGCAUUGGUAGAUACAGGAUUCAAGUUAAUCUUACAGUUUAGAAGUUCCCUUUAUUUAGAGUUUUUCAAGGCAAUAUAUUAGUUAAAACUGUGGAUGUAAAAAAUAGGAGCGUUGGUCCUUUCAACUCAGCUGUUCUGUGCAGAAAGCACAAACUUAUUUUUUAAAGCACUUCUGUGGGAUACUGUUGUUGAGUAUUUGAUACAGUUGGAAUUCUAUUUUUCAUAUCGAAGUGUUAGCCUUUUAUUGUAACCAAAAAGGAAAUCAAAAAAUGGAAUAUGCAGCUGCUUGUGGAUGGCAGUCAAGACUAAUUACAGAAUUAAACCAAAGGUUUUUAAUCUUAGAAAUCAGAAAGGUGAGAAAAGUUGAGAUUUCGAAUUUGGAUGUAAUGUCCAAUGCAUUUAGUACUUACAUUAAUCCUAAAGAUUUUGAAGGAGUUUGGUGAUUCUUCCAAAUCUUUGGGUAGCAUUAAUUACAAAGAGUCAGUAUUAAAUGGUCGAGAAAGCAUUUUGGCAUAGACUAAGUAUCUUACCCAUGUUUUGUUUUCCUAACCUGAAAUGAAAGCACUGAACCAAUUUCAUUGAGACAUUUUUGAAAGUGUUUAAUAUUCUUCAAUAUCUGCCCAUAAUCUGUGUUAGAUGAAAUUUUGUAUUAUAUUUUGUUUUAAAUACUAAAUGUAAAGACUGAUUUUAUUCCCAUUAAAUAGAAUUAUUUGUGGGCAGUAGUUGACAAACUAUCCAUUGUUCACUUGAACAGUACCUAAAAAAUGAGAAAAGGUUUUAAAAAAAGCAUUUUAGGAAUAGAUUAGGAAUAGAUUUAAAUAACAUAUUUCACUCUGCAUCAUAGAAAUAUAAAUGGUUGUUUAAAAAUGAAUUCAUAUCAUAUAUUGUAUGUUAUAUAUAUAUUCAGCAUGAGUACAUAAUGUGAGUGGUUUUUUAUUAGUGAUGAAAUAUGACAUGUGAGCUAAUUCUGUUCUUAAGAAGUUCUAUAUUUUUGUUUUGUAAAUAUCUUUUCUAAUCAGCUUGUGUUCUGCUUUGUAUAUGUUGUAUUCAAAUCUAAUAUCAAUAAAAGUGGGACUCAAAAUAGACUUGACUGUUAAGCUCCAAGAUAAUUUGUUAUUUUUUCUUAUAAUUUUCUAGUAGUAUGGCUCAGUCAUUUGCUUCAGUUUAAGUAAGAAAUCAGCAUACCCGAAUUUACCUCACUAGCCUUGAAAAAGUGUAAUAUUCUUUGCCUAGUGUAUGCAAUUACAAGUGUUAAAUAUGUCAAACAAAUUUUAAGAUAUGUAAAAGGAACACUUUAUAAUGCAGGAUAUUGUAUUUGGACUUGAUUCAUAAGCUACUGUCUGUGUACAAACUAGUCUGACAUAGCUGCUAAAUACUUUGGGGUGAACAAAACCACUCAGCAGAUCCCUUUAAAUACAGAUGCUAAUACAUCUGUUCAGUGCAAGAAGAAAAGAGUUGUUUCUGAAGUAAAAUUAGACAAUAGAGCCAAUUUCAUUUUUUAUGCAUGUGAAUGUAGAGUGCUUGAGGUUAUUAGUUGAAACUGAGUAACCUUUCCAGGCUUUCAUCUCUUUCUUUUCAAAUUUGAAUAUGAAAAGCAUAUUCAAGUCAGAGACCAUCACUUUAAUGACAUUUGGCAGUCAUUUGAUUUAUUAGAUUUUAGAAAAAAAAAUUCCUUUUAAAUAUUUCAUCAUUCUAUGCUAAUCCCAGUAAUAUUGCCAGCUGAAGCCAUGUACCUGUAUUAGUGGAGACAGAAUGGUGUGGAAUUUUUUCUGUCAUCCUAGUAAAAUUUCCAUGAAUCUACUGAAUAAUAAAACAACCUUAUUGAAAUAUUCA